rnacentral:tRNA from 1 species
GCGCCCGUGGCUCAAUGGAUAGAGCGUUUGACUACGGAUCAAAAGGUUGGGGGUUCGAAUCCCUUCGGGCGCGCCA